rnacentral:lncRNA from 10 species
GCAGGGGCUGUGGGGAGCGGUCGCUGCAGGGUUGGACGGAUGCUAGGCCAAGGUGGGGCCAGCGGCACGGGUUCCCAGGUGAGUGGGGCUGGGACCGGAUGGGAGGGAGUGACCUCCCCAUCACGUGGAGGCUGAGUUGAUGACGAUGGGAAGAGCAGCGGGGGCCAAAAAGGGAGGGACGGCCCGGCACGCCGUGCACUCGAUGCCCAACGGGCCCCCAUUUAAGGUAAGCAUUUGUUUAACUGCACCGUGACACACAGUAUUUUCUGAAUUUAAGUUGAACUCAGUUCAACAAAUGUUUAUGAACUGUCUACGGAGGAGAGGCACUGAAGUGCAGCGAUGACUCAACGCGUACUUGAGCUUCAAAAGGCUGCCAGGGAAUGUUGCAGUGAAUUUGCCUGACUCCAGCGAAUGGUGCCUGUGAAGUCCAGGAGCAUAGAGCUGGUGUAAGGAAGCUCAAAACCCAUUUGCAGAGAGAAAGAAGAUAAUGCCUCCGAAUGAGAUAGAGCGCGGAGGCACCGGACACAGGGGACAGCACUUGUCGGCAGAAUCAUGGCCCCAUGUCACGCUUGUGGUUAGCGGAAUCAUGGCCCCCUGCCCAGGCCCUGACACAGGCACCAGAACCUGUGUACGUGUUGCCUUACACAGCAAAAGGGAUUUUGCAUAUGCAAUGAAGUCAAAGAUCUAAGGGCCUGGAGGUAAGCAGAGAUCAUGCUGGAUUAUCUAGUUGGACCCACUGCAAUCACGAGUCCCUAGAGGUGAAGAGUCCUUCUCCCUGGAGACGGGAGAAGAAAAGAUUCAAAGGUGAGAGAUUCAAUGUAUUGUUGCUGGAGUUGCAGACAGAAGAGGGGGCCACAAGCCGAGCCAUGUGGUUGCCCUGAGAAGCUAAAAAGGCCCUCUGCUGACAGCCAACGUGAAUAUGAGGAUCUCAGUCCUACAGUCACAAAGAACUGAACUCUGCCCAUGACUGGAUUGGGCGAGGACCAGAUCUCCUUGUAAACAUGCAAAUAGUACUUACUAGUGGAAAGAAGCCUGGGAACCCCUAUCUAAAAGCACAGAAUAGCUGGGCACAGUGGCUCACACCUGUAAUCGCAGAACCUUGGGAGGCUGAGGUGGGUGGAUCACUUGAGGCCAGGAGUUUGAGAACAGCCCAGCCAACAUGGGAUGCAUCUCUCUGCCUAGUGUUUUUGUUAUUGAAUCAUUAGUAAAGUUUGACAUUAGGUAAGAUCUAUAGAUCCUAUGGAUGUCUGCUUUGAAGAUUCAAAUCCUUGCAUUAACACAAUCUCUGUAUUAUUCUAAUGCAUACUUCAAUUUAGGAGCUGUUUCUUCUUAGGGAAUUCAUGCAUCCAGCAUCUAAAAAACCUUUUCAGUUCCUGUUCUUUGGAAACACUUUGGGAAAUUUUUGAGGCCAGGAGUUCCAAGCUGCAGUGUGUGAUUAUCGUGUCUGUGAAUGGCCACGGCACUCCAGCCUGGGCAACAUAGCAAGACCUCAUCUCUUUAAAAAAGACAGGUCUGAGCAGCUCCUAGGGGCCAAUCCCUAUUCGAGGCAACAGCAGAGGGAAGACAAGAAGAUGGCUACAUGCACCCACCACCUGACUGCAGCAGCUCACAGGCCCCCCAGGGCUGGCAUUGCCUGACCCAGGGAAUGUGGCAAGGGGUGCCACCAAGGCAAACACAGGAGGAAUCUUUAGACGGUGUGCUGGUCCCCACACCAGCCUCUGACUUGAAGUGCCUCCAUUCCCCUAGCAAAUGCAUGAAACAAAAGUUGUGCAGGCCUCACGUCUGAUUGAUUCUCUUCUCUUUGUGGACAUACGUUAGACUUAGAAAUAAACUCGUAUUAAAAGAUAUUUUUAAUGGCUUUUUCUUCCCUUACUUAGAGGCAAAUAAUGAUAAGCUAUACUUCAGUAUGUAUUUUAGGCUUGAAAUCAU